AAGUUAUUUUGGGUUAGAAUAUGUUAUAAUGCAAUGAAUUUGAUUGAUUACAAGUCCUAGAGAUGCAUGAAGAAUGUUUAGAAGUGAGAAGAAAGACUUGUGGAUAUUUGGUCCCAAAAGGGAUAAGAACCCAAAACCAUUGCUUUGAGGCAGUGAAUGGCUUGUAUAAAGUUAUUUUGGUUUAGAAUAUGUUAUAAUACAGUGAUAUUGAUUGAUUACAUGUGCUAGACAUGCAUGAAGAAUGUUUAGAAGUGAGAAGAAAGACUUGUGGAUAUUUG
rnacentral:lncRNA from 1 species